AGAGUUUGAUCCUGGCUCAGAUUGAACGCUGGCGGUAUGCUUAACACAUGCAAGUCGAACGGCAGCGUGCUGGUUCCUUCGGGAACCGGUGGCGGCGAGUGGCGGACGGGUGAGUAACGCGUAGGAAUCUACUCCAAAGUGGGGGAUAACCCGAGGAAACUCGGGCUAAUACCGCAUGUAUUCUACGGAAUAAAGCUGGGGACUACUUCGGUAGCCUGGUGCUUUGGAAUGAGCCUGCGUCAGAUUAGCUUGUUGGUGGGGUAAUGGCCUACCAAGGCAACGAUCUGUAGCUGGUCUGAGAGGACGAUCAGCCACACUGGGACUGAGGCACGGCCCAGACUCCUACGGGAGGCAGCAGUGGGGAAUAUUGGACAAUGGGCGAAAGCCUGAUCCAGCAAUACCGCGUGUGUGAAGAAGGCCUUCGGGUUGUAAAGCACUUUCAGUAGAGACGAAAUGCUCAGGGUUAAUACCCUUGAGAGUUGACUUAACCUACAGAAGAAGCACCGGCUAACUCUGUGCCAGCAGCCGCGGUAAUACAGAGGGUGCGAGCGUUAAUCGGAAUUACUGGGCGUAAAGCGCGCGUAGGUGGAUGUUUAAGUCGGAUGUGAAAGCCCUGGGCUUAACCUGGGAACUGCAUUCGAUACUGGGCAUCUUGAGUAUGGUAGAGGGAAGUGGAAUUUCCGGAGUAGCGGUGAAAUGCGUAGAUAUCGGAAGGAACACCAGUGGCGAAGGCGGCUUCCUGGACCAAUACUGACACUGAGGUGCGAAAGCGUGGGGUAGCAAAACAGGGAUUAGAUACCCCUGGUAGUCCACGCCGUUAAACGAUGAGAACUAGGUGUUAGAAA
rnacentral:rRNA from 1 species